rnacentral:tRNA from 1 species
UCUUCGGUAGUAUAGUGGUGAGUAUCCCAGCCUGUCACGUUGGAGACCCGGGUUCAAUUCCCGGCCGGAGAG